rnacentral:lncRNA from 1 species
GUGUGUCUCUGUGUGUGUGUAGAUAUAUUUAUUCUUCUGGGACAUGAAGCUUUAGUUCUGGUGAUCUCAAAAGACUUUUGGAGUGUGAAUGUUCAAGUGAAAGAAAUCAUAUAUCAUGCUUAUCUUUGGUGAGAGCACGUGUGCACUGGAUGAUUUUCACCUACAAAGAUCAUCUUUGACCAAAAUGGAGCAAAGAAAAUACAUGCACUCUAUAACCGCUUAUUACCCUGGAUUCCCUGUCACAGAGGUGGAGAGAAGAUUCUGACCAAUGGAAGACCAGAUAGGCUGAACAAGCCCAAGGUCACAGAGCAAAUCCUUGGAAGAAUGCGGACGACACAGCCAACUUUUUCACUGAAACUAUUAACUAUUGGACAAUCCCUCCCAAAAUUGCUUUCUUCCAUUUUGAUGUCUCUUUUCUUAAGGAGAAGUGAUACCAGAAAGACAGCUGAUUAUAAAUGAGAGAGAGAAAAUACUUCAGAAAGAAAAAAGUCUCAAACCUAUCUGGCAGUGACCAUUUUCUUGAUUUAAGCAGAGAAUGAUCUUUGUGUUUCCACAUGAGUGACCACAUUCAGCAAGAUAUAAUUGCCAAACAC